rnacentral:lncRNA from 1 species
UCUUUUUCUAUCCCCCACUUAGUUAUUAUUGUACCUCUUACACACCGCCCAUUUUGAAUCAGUGGAUGGAGAUGUAACAAGGGAAUUUAUUUUGCUUCUAACAAACCCAGUUAUAUAAGUAUACGGCAAUGUCCAAAUAAGCAUAAAAAAAAAACUAGGAAAAUAAAAUAAAAUACUGUUAAAUAUAAAAAUAUUUAAACAUUAUUUUUUAUAACCUUAAGUUUGUAUAGUGUCAUGGUUGUUUUAUAUUCUUUAAUAUAGUGUCAAAGCAAGAAGUUCUGAGUUCAAGUCAAAUAUUUAAUUUUUUACCCGAGAACAGUAGUUCUCGGUUAUCUAUAAUAACCGGUUAUAACUAUCCCCACCAACACCUCUAUUUUCUAUACAAAACUACCUAAUAUUUUUCUUAUUCCAUAUUAUCUAUCCAAACGCUAUUUUUCUUAUCCCCGGGAACAACUCAAUUUUCAUCCAAACACUAUUUUUCUUAUCCCCAUACUUGUACCUAUCCCUGUAAUAGCUAGUUCUUGCUUAUUCCCGAAUCAAACGGUACGUAUAAGCUUUCAGGUAUCGUUUGGUUCGGGGAUAAGAAAAAAGUGGCUAUUCCAGGGAUAGGUAUAAAUUGAGGUAUAAGCGAGGAUUAGAUCAAUUUUGCGUUUGGAUAAAAAUUGGGUUAUUCCUGAAAUAAAAAAAAUAGCGUUUGGUUAGGUAAGAUGGAAUAAGAAAGAUAAUGAAUUUCGUAAAUAAAAAAUAAUGAUAUUAUCCACUUAUUAUAUUUGAAUUUGAAUUUUUAAAUUUUUUAAUUUAUAUUUCUAAAUUUAAAAUUUUAACUUUGAAAUUUAAAAUCUCAAAUUUUAAAUUCAAAAUUUUAAAUUUUAAAUUUCAAACUUUAAAUUUAAGAUCAUAUUUAAUUUUAAAAAAAUAUAAAAUAUCAAAUUUUAAAUUUCAAAAAUUUAAAAUAUCAAAAUUUAAAUUUAAAAUUUAAAAUUUAAAAUUUAAAUUUUAAACUUUAAUUUUGAGAUUAUAAAUUAUAAAUUUUAAAAAUUUAAAUUUUUAAUUUUUAAAAUUUUAAAAUAAGAAUAGUGGUGGGAACAAUUAAUAAAAAUAAUUUAUUAUAAUAAAUUUAUAAAUUUUUUAAAAAUUCUAGUUAAAUUUAAAUUUAAUAAAAAGAAUUUAUUAUAAUAUUUAAAUAUAAUUUAUUAUAAAUUUUAUUAUAAUAUUUAAAUAUAAAUAAUAUGUAUUAAUAUAGUACAAUUAAUAAUUUUAUAAUAAAAAUAAUGUAUUAUAAUAUAUAACAUAUUAUAUUUAUAUAAUUUAGUUUAAUUCAAUUUAUAAGUUUAAUUAAGUUUGAAAUUAAAUAUUGGAAUAGCACUAUUCCACCAAAAUGGUGGAAUAGCAAAUUCCUUGCUAUUCCGGGAUAAUCGAGAAUAGCAAGGUUUGACCGGGAUAAAAUAUCCCGGCCAAAUUUCACCUCGUUUGGUGGAAUAGCGGGGAUAACUUUCGUUAUCCCCGCUUAUCCCGCGAUCCAAACAGGGCCUCAAAGUAUAACGAUUAUUUCAUAUUUUUAACAAAUAACCACACAAAUUUAUCACCGUUAGCUAUUUCGCAAAUAGGUGCCAGAAACUUUCAAUUUAUAAAGACCCUCUAACUUAUAAAAUAAUUUAAUGUCUCUCUCCUUAAUUAAUUGAAAUUGCUAAUUAUACAACCAUUUGGAUCUUAUAUUAUUUGCAUAUUUUAUUAUAGAAAACUUCGAAGCAAAAAAAAAAAAAAUUCUUUCAUACUGAUGUUUAUGUCAAGCAUCUGUAAGAUACAUUCCGACAUUUUAAAGUGUCAAAAUUUUGAAAAAUCUUGACAUUUUAAAGCGUUGAAAAAUUAGAAUUGUUGGAAAUAUUAGGGUAGCGAAAACUUACAAACUGGAUAGCCAAGGUAUCCAGGAACCGGAAUCGGAUCGGAUUGCUUGUUUUACUAGCCUGCUUGGAUUGUCUUGAUCUAGAUUCUUCUAGAUCUCCCACGUUUCUCGCCUUCUCUUACGCGUACGCUUUGCGUCACGGAUCGGAUGCGUCAGACACGGAUUAGAUGCGAUGGAUGCCGAUCGAAGAGGGCUACCAGAGUCUUCUUCUAUGUCCACACUCCAAAACCCCCGAAACGUAGAUAGAAUCCCAAAGAGUAAGAAGUGAGAGAAGAAGUAAGAUUUAUCGGGAAUUGUUUUGAAUUAGAUCGUAUUUGAUCGUCUAUUACGGGAGAGAAAAGGGGUCGUAUUUAUAGAAUAACAAAACUCCUAAAAUAUCCUGAAUCUCACAAAGAGAGUAGGAUAAGGAUUAUGAUUGGGAUAUCUAUAAUAGAUAUCCACUAGGAGAUACGUUUCUUAACUAAUAAGAACAUAUAAUUUAUUCUUAUCCUAAACUUAUUAGGAUAAAUCCCAAUCCACAUCUUAUGUGGA